rnacentral:rRNA from 1 species
GACGAACGCUGGCGGCGUGCUUAACACAUGCAAGUCGAACGGUAAGGCUCCAGCUUGCUGGGGUACACGAGUGGCGAACGGGUGAGUAACACGUGGGUGACCUGCCCUGCACUUCGGGAUAAGCCUGGGAAACUGGGUCUAAUACCGGAUAGGACCGCACCGUGAGGGUGUGGUGGAAAGUUUUUUCGGUGUGGGAUGGGCCCGCGGCCUAUCAGCUUGUUGGUGGGGUAAUGGCCUACCAAGGCGGCGACGGGUAGCCGGCCUGAGAGGGUGGACGGCCACAUUGGGACUGAGACACGGCCCAGACUCCUACGGGAGGCAGCAGUGGGGAAUAUUGCACAAUGGGCGGAAGCCUGAUGCAGCGACGCCGCGUGGGGGAUGACGGCCUUCGGGUUGUAAACUCCUUUCACCAUCGACGAAGGGUUUCUGACGGUAGAUGGAGAAGAAGCACCGGCUAACUACGUGCCAGCAGCCGCGGUAAUACGUAGGGUGCGAGCGUUGUCCGGAAUUACUGGGUGUAAAGAGCUCGUAGGUGGUUUGUCGCGUCGUCUGUGAAAUUCCGGGGCUUAACUCCGGGCGUGCAGGCGAUACGGGCAUAACUUGAGUACUGUAGGGGAGACUGGAAUUCCUGGUGUAGCGGUGAAAUGCGCAGAUAUCAGGAGGAACACCGGUGGCGAAGGCGGGUCUCUGGGCAGUAACUGACGCUGAGGAGCGAAAGCAUGGGGAGCGAACAGGAUUAGAUACCCUGGUAGUCCAUGCCGUAAACGGUGGGCGCUAGGUGUGGGUUUCCUUCCACGGGAUCCGUGCCGUAGCUAACGCAUUAAGCGCCCCGCCUGGGGAGUACGGCCGCAAGGCUAAAACUCAAAGGAAUUGACGGGGGCCCGCACAAGCGGCGGAGCAUGUGGAUUAAUUCGAUGCAACGCGAAGAACCUUACCUGGGCUUGACAUAUACAGGAUCGCGCCAGAGAUGGUGUUUCCCUUGUGGCUUGUAUACAGGUGGUGCAUGGUUGUCGUCAGCUCGUGUCGUGAGAUGUUGGGUUAAGUCCCGCGACGAGCGCAACCCUUGUCUUAUGUUGCCAGCACGUUGUGGUGGGGACUCGUAAGAAACUGCCGGGGUUAACUCGGAGGAAGGUGGGGAUGACGUCAAAUCAUCAUGCCCCUUAUGUCCAGGGCUUCACACAUGCUACAAUGGUCGGUACAGUGGGUUGCCAGUCCGUGAGGGCGAGCUAAUCCCGCAAAGCCGGUCUCAGUUCGGAUCGGGGUCUGCAACUCGACCCCGUGAAGUCGGAGUCGCUAGUAAUCGCAGAUCAGCAACGCUGCGGUGAAUACGUUCCCGGGCCU